GAUGAACGCUGGCGGCGUGCCUAACACAUGCAAGUCGAACGGAGAUUACGGACGGAAGUUUUCGGAUGAAAGACUGUAAUUCUUAGUGGCGGACGGGUGAGUAACGCGUGGGCAACCUGCCCUAUACAGGGGGAUAGCAGCUGGAAACGGCUGGUAAGACCGCAUAAGUCGGUUAAAUCGCAUGAUUUGAUCGGGAAAUGAGCAAUCAGGUAUAGGAUGGGCCCGCGUCCGAUUAGCCAGUUGGCAGGGUAAAAGCCUACCAAAGCGACGAUCGGUAGCCGGACUGAGAGGUCGGACGGCCACAUUGGGACUGAGACACGGCCCAAACUCCUACGGGAGGCAGCAGUGGGGGAUAUUGCACAAUGGAGGAAACUCUGAUGCAGCGACGCCGCGUGAGUGAAGAAGUAUUUCGGUAUGUAAAGCUCUAUCAGCAGGGAAGAUGAUGACGGUACCUGACUAAGAAGCCCCGGCUAACUACGUGCCAGCAGCCGCGGUAAUACGUAGGGGGCAAGCGUUAUCCGGAUUUACUGGGUGUAAAGGGAGCGCAGGCGGUUUUGCAAGUUGAGAGUGGAAGCAGGGGGCUCAACCCCCUGACUGCUCCCAAAACUGUAAAACUUGAGUAUGGGAGAGGCAGGCGGAAUUCCUAGUGUAGCGGUGAAAUGCUUAGAUAUUAGGAAGAACACCGGUGGCGAAGGCGGCCUGCUGGACCAAAACUGACGCUGAGGCUCGAAAGCGUGGGUAGCAAACAGG
rnacentral:rRNA from 1 species